UUGGGAAUAUUGCACAAUGGAGGGAACUCUGAUGCAGCGACGCCGCGUGAACGAAGAAGGCUUUCGAGUCGUAAAGUUCUUUUAUAUGGGAAGAUAAUGACGGUACCAUAAGAAAAAGCCCCGGCUAACUACGUGCCAGCAGCCGCGGUAAUACGUAUGGGGCGAGCGUUGGCCGGAAUUAUUGGGCGUAAAGGGUACGUAGGCGGUCUAUUAAGUCAGGUGUGAAAGCGUGAGGCUUAACCUCAUUAAGCACUUGAAACUGAUAGACUUGAGUGAAGGAGAGGAAAGUGGAAUUCCUAGUGUAGCGGUGAAAUGCGUAGAUAUUAGGAGGAGUACCGGUGGCGAAGGCGACUUUCUGGACUUUUACUGACGCUCAGGUACGAAAGCGUGGGGAGCAAACAGG
rnacentral:rRNA from 1 species